rnacentral:rRNA from 1 species
UACGUAGGGGGCAAGCGUUGUCCGGAAUUAUUGGGCGUAAAGAGCGUGUAGGCGGCUCGGUAAGUCUGCUGUGAAAGUCCAAGGCUCAACCUUGGAAUGCCGGUGGAUACUGUCGAGCUCGAGUCCGGAAGAGGCGAGUGGAAUUCCUGGUGUAGCGGUGAAAUGCGCAGAUAUCGGGAGGAACACCAGUGGCGAAGGCGACUUCCUGGCCUGUUCUUGACGCUGAGGCGCGAAAGCUAGGGGAGCAAACGGG